rnacentral:rRNA from 1 species
UACGAGGGGGGCAAGCGUUGUUCGGAAUUACUGGGCGUAAAGCGCGUGUAGGCGGCUCUUCAAGUCGAGUGUGAAAGCUCCAGGCUUAACCUGGGAAUUGCGCUCGAUACUGUUGAGCUAGAGUGUGGAAGGGGCUACUGGAAUUCCGUGUGUAGCGGUGAAAUGCGUAGACAUACGGAGGAACACCUGCGGCGAAGGCGGGUAGCUGGGCCAACACUGACGCUGAGACGCGAAAGCUAGGGGAGCAAACGGG